ensembl:lncRNA
ACGGUUGUUUGAUGUGGCAAUCCUUCAUCUUCGAGAUAACAGCCAGAUGUCAGCGGAUGUCAGCAGGUGUUUUGUCCGGUAUUAAAGAAGCUUUUUAUUUGGAAGCACAGAGGAAAAAGCUCAGAGCUUAUGGAGGUAGAUGACAAAAAGGAUUCUAGAUGACAACUGUUUUAAAAGCCUACUGUCUGGCUGCAAAUAAUGCCGUUUGUGUCAUAAGGGCGUGGGUUGGUCCAGUUUCUCCUUCUCCUGAGUAACCGUCCUGCAGAUAUUCUCCUCCUUAGUGGGCGGAACGCUCUGUUCUCGCUCUCUUGCCUGACACAUCUGGUGCUGAUAAUCGUCAUUAACGCUAGUAUAUGAGGACUAGCUGAUCCGUCCAUCGUCCCCAUUACCCCAGAUCGAGUAGUAAAAAGCCAAAUGCGUUUCCUAGUGCAAACCUGUGUAUUUUUGUUCUCACGUGUUUUCUCUCUACGUUCAUCCUCCAUCGGCUGAAGACCUGUUCAAGUGCAACCCCGCCAAGAUGUUUUCCCUCCUCCACUCACCUCCAUUGCUGCACCUGCCUGCUCACCCUCCACCGCUGCCCUCACCUGCCUGCCAUCUGCUUCCCUCUCUGGAGAACAUUCCUGGGUAUCAAAUGGAUUCCCAUCCUUCUCUGGACCUGGAGGAUUGUUUCCCUGACACCCCCCUGUGAUUAGCUUUGCUCAGCUCCCACAUUCAAUAAAGACCAUAAACCUUUCCCUGCAUAUCUUUUAGGCCUCUGGUUUUGGUCCAACUUUGCCAAUCAACCACACGGCCCUGACAAUUUGAUUAAAAUCCUGUGGCAUAUAUCCAGAAGGCGUCCUUUUGCACCGUUACCUGACACGCAGACCUGGGCUAUGCAGCAGUAAGACAGGUCGUUCCAAACUCAUCACACAGUGACACUUCUAAAGAGCUCAUAUGAACAGACUGUAAGUCCCAUUUUUAUACAUGUAGGGUUAAUGUGAAUGAUUUAACUCACAAUCUUUUUCUAAACCUAACACAGUUUUUUGUGGCACACAGUCAAUAAAAUGCACAAAAGUGAAACAAAUCAGUAAGAACACAAACAAAGUGCUUAUGCCAUCGUCACCUUUCCUCCCUC